rnacentral:tRNA from 2 species
GGAGCAGUACUUUAAUUAAAAGGAUUGAUUUGCAUUCAAUUAUUGAAGCUGUGCUUCUUGUUCCU